UUAAAAAGCUCGUAGUUGGAUUUCUGGUCUGGGCGUCCGGUCCGCCGCUGUGCGGUGUGUACUUGGUUCGACCCGGGCCUUCCUUGUGGGGAAUGUAUCUGGGCUUAAUUGGUCGGAUAUUGGAACCACAUCGUUUACUGUGAAAAAAUUGGAGUGUUUAAAGCAGGCAUUUGCUGUGAAUACAUUAGCAUGGAAUAAUAAGAUAGGACUUUGGUUCUAUUUUGUUGGUUGGAGGCCAAGGUAAUGAUUAAUAGGGAUAGUUGGGGGUAUUCAUAUUUAAUUGUCAGAGGUGAAAUUCUUGGAUUUAUGAAAGAUGAGCCUUAU
rnacentral:rRNA from 1 species